AGGUGGAAACUUGGAUUAAUUAGCACUGUGACUUGCCAAGUGAGAUAAAAGCAAGAGAGUUAAGGAUGACUGCAUGGGAGUGACUGUAAUGACAGUGGAAUUUAAACUAGAUAAGGAGCAAAAAGGAAACGAAGAAGACGAAAGUGAGUGCAAAGCAAGUAGAAUCACAGGAAUGGUCUUUUCAGUAGGUUUUGAGGAUUUCUGAAGUCCGAGACAUAAAGGGAAUGUGCAGGAAGGAAAGGAGAUGGUCAUAAACGAAGUAAAGGAAAUUGAAAUAAGAGGGCUGUGUUUUUUAGUAAUGGCAAAUUAGGGUAGUUGAGACAGGUGGAAGACAAAAUCUUUUUUUUUUUCCUUUUUUUGGAGACGGAGUCUCAUUUUGUCAUCCAAGCUGGAGUGCAGAGGCGUGAUCUAGGCUCACUGCAACCUCUCGGAUUCAAGGGAUUUUCCUGUCUCAGCCUCUCAGAAGAGAACAUCUUCAUAGGAGAGGAGCUCUAGGAACUGAGAAUGCAGGAAAUUGGAAGAAAUAUACAUUAAUAGCCAAGAAUUUAGACAGGACUGGGGAGCCAGGAACAAACAUUUGAGAUGUUGGGCUUUUAAUGGAGUUGCCACGGAUGACAGCAUCAUGAGAAAUGAGGUUUAAAAAUGGAGGAUUGUUCGAGGAGGGAGGAGGGCUGAUCUGAAAGCCACAAGGAGGACAAAUGGAACACCUACCCCCACUACAGGCUGGAAGAAGACAGUCACCAUGAAAGAAGGCUGACUACCCUGAGGCCUCUUGUUAUGAGAAGCCCAAG
rnacentral:lncRNA from 10 species